GACGAACGCUGGCGGCGUGCCUAAUACAUGCAAGUCGAACGCAGUGGGGACGGGUGAGUAACACGUGGGUAACCUCCCAUCAGAGGGGAUAAAACUUGGCAACAGGUGCUAAACCGAUACUGAAUGAUGGACCCGCGGUGCAUUAGCUAGUUGGUGAGGUAACGGCUCACCAAGGCCACGAUGCAUAGCCGACCUGAGAGGGUGAUCGGCCACACUGGGACUGAGACACGGUCCAGACUCCUACGGGAGGCAGCAGUGGGGAAUCUUCGGCAAUGGACGAAAGUCUGACCGAGCCACGCCGCGUGAGUGAAGAAGGUUUUCGGGUUGUAAAACUCUGUUGUUAGAGAAGCGGUAUCUAACCAGAAAGCAACGGCUAACUACGUGCCAGCAGCCGCGGUAAUUC
rnacentral:rRNA from 1 species